rnacentral:tRNA from 1 species
GCCUGGGUGGCUCAGUCGGUUGAGCGUCUGACUUCAGCUCAGGUCACGAUCUCACGGUUCGUGGGUUCGAGCCCCGCGUCAGGCU